UACGGGGGGGGGCAAGCGUUUGUUCGGAAUUACUGGGCGUAAAGGGCUCGUAGGCGGCCAACUAAGUCAGACGUGAAAUCCCUCGGCUCAACCGGGGAACUGCGUCUGAUACUGGAUGGCUUGAAUCCGGGAGAGGGAUGCGGAAUUCCAGGUGUAGCGGUGAAAUGCGUAGAUAUCUGGAGGAACACCGGUGGCGAAGGCGGCAUCCUGGACCGGCAUUGACGCUGAGGAGCGAAAGCCAGGGGAGCAAACGGG
rnacentral:rRNA from 1 species